AUUGAACGCUGGCGGCAUGCUUUACACAUGCAAGUCGAACGGCAGCGCGGGCUUCGGCCUGGCGGCGAGUGGCGAACGGGUGAGUAAUACAUCGGAACGUGCCCAGUAGUGGGGGAUAGCUCGGCGAAAGCCGGAUUAAUACCGCAUACGACCUGAGGGUGAAAGCGGGGGAUCUUCGGACCUCGCGCUAUUGGAGCGGCCGAUGGCAGAUUAGCUAGUUGGUGGGGUAAAGGCCUACCAAGGCGACGAUCUGUAGCUGGUCUGAGAGGACGACCAGCCACACUGGGACUGAGACACGGCCCAGACUCCUACGGGAGGCAGCAGUGGGGAAUUUUGGACAAUGGGCGAAAGCCUGAUCCAGCAAUGCCGCGUGUGUGAUGAAGGCCUUCGGGUUGGAAAGCACUUUUGGCGGGAACGAAAAGGACUGUGCCAAUACCACGGUUCGAUGACGGUACCCGCAGAAUAAGCACCGGCUAACUACG
rnacentral:rRNA from 1 species